rnacentral:other from 1 species
AAUAGCCUGGGAUGUUCGCCACGUGACCGCUUUUACCCACAUCUUCACAAAUGGAUUCCGAGUCGGUUGGUCGCUGCCAGGCCCCCACGCAGGGGAAGGCAAUACAUCGCCGUAGGUCUCCACCCUGCCGAGCGGCGGGUGAAAAAGCGGAAGCGAACGGCAUCCUGGGUCACCU